GAAGCUUGCUUUUUUGAUAGUUAGCGGCGGACGGGUGAGUAACACGUAGGCAACCUGCCCUCAAGUUUGGGACAACUACCGGAAACGGUAGCUAAUACCGAAUAAUUGUUUUCUUCGCCUGAAGGAAACUGGAAAGACGGAGCAAUCUGUCACUUGGGGAUGGGCCUGCGGCGCAUUAGCUAGUUGGUGAGGUAACGGCUCACCAAGGCGACGAUGCGUAGCCGACCUGAGAGGGUGAUCGGCCACACUGGGACUGAGACACGGCCCAGACUCCUACGGGAGGCAGCAGUAGGGAAUCUUCCGCAAUGGGCGAAAGCCUGACGGAGCAAUGCCGCGUGAGUGAUGAAGGUUUUCGGAUCGUAAAGCUCUGUUGCCAGGGAAGAACGCUUGGGAGAGUAACUGCUCUCAAGGUGACGGUAC
rnacentral:rRNA from 1 species